rnacentral:rRNA from 1 species
AUUGAACGCUGGCGGCAUGCUUUACACAUGCAAGUCGAUCGGUAACAGGCCGCAAGGUGCUGACGAGUGGCGAACGGGUGAGUAAUGCAUCGGAACGUGCCCAGUCGUGGGGGAUAACUACUCGAAAGAGUAGCUAAUACCGCAUACGAUCUAUGGAUGAAAGCGGGGGACCGUAAGGCCUCGCGCGAUUGGAGCGGCCGAUGUCAGAUUAGGUAGUUGGUGGGGUAAAGGCUCACCAAGCCAACGAUCUGUAGCUGGUCUGAGAGGACGACCAGCCACACUGGGACUGAGACACGGCCCAGACUCCUACGGGAGGCAGCAGUGGGGAAUUUUGGACAAUGGGCGCAAGCCUGAUCCAGCAAUGCCGCGUGCAGGAAGAAGGCCUUCGGGUUGUAAACUGCUUUUGUACGGAACGAAACGGCUCUGGUUAAUACCCGGGGCUAAUGACGGUACCGUAAGAAUAAGCACCGGCUAACUACGUG